rnacentral:misc_RNA from 1 species
UCUCCGUAGGUGAACCUGCGGAGGGAUCAUUACAAGUGACCCCGGUCUUACCACCGGGAUGUUCAUAACCCUUUGUUGUCCGACUCUGUUGCCUCCGGGGCGACCCUGCCUUCGGGCGGGGGCUCCGGGUGGACACUUCAAACUCUUGCGUAACUUUGCAGUCUGAGUAAACUUAAUUAAUAAAUUAAAACUUUUAACAACGGAUCUCUUGGCUCUC